GAUGAAGAACGGAGCGAAAUGCGAUAAGUAAUGUGAAUUGCAGAAUUCAGUGAAUCAUCGAAUCUUUGAACGCACAUUGCGCCCGCCAGUAUUCUGGCGGGCAUGCCUGUUCGAGCGUCAUUUCAACCAUCAAGCCCCCGGGCUUGUGUUGGGGACCUGCGGCUGCCGCAGGCCCUGAAAACCAGUGGCGGGCUCGCUAGUCACUCCGAGCGUAGUAGUUACAUCUCGCUCAGGGCGUGCUGCGGGUUCCGGCCGUUAAAAGCCUUUUACCCCAAGGUUGACCUCGGAUCAGGCAGGAAGACCCGCUGAACUUAAGCAUAUCAAUAAGCGGAGGA
rnacentral:misc_RNA from 1 species